ACCUCAGGGCCCUAAUGACUGUUUGUCUUUCAAACUGGGUAUCCUAGGGUAUGUAUUUAAAUAGGGUAAAAUAUUUUAAAAGGUUUUACUAACAAUCAGGGCAGCUUGCUAAGAAGGGGUGAGGUAUUUUACAGUGUGUAUUAUAUAAUAAUGAUUUUGUUCAAAAAGACAUACAUGUUUACAGUUAUUAAGAGCUUCCAAUGUUACAUCUAGCAUUAUGUUGAGGGUUUGACUUGGAGCACUUCAUUGACCGCCUGUGAUACCAGGGAGGUCUUGAUCACAUUCCA
rnacentral:lncRNA from 1 species